rnacentral:piRNA from 1 species
AGGAUCUGAGGAAUCCUGGCAUAAUCUA